AAGUAAUCAAUGGAAAUUUUUUCGGUUUAAAUCUGGCGCCUCGUUGUACAUUUGACAUGUGAUAACGGAAACAAAAUCGUUUCAAGGUCGUCACCGACAUGGCCUACUGUUUGGAUCAGGAGAAACGGAGUUGAUAAGUACAAGAACAAUAUUUGCCAUGCUGAUGAUGUGUGAAAAGGAACGAUGUGUGCCUACGAUCACUCAAGCCUGACCAACGUCUGAUUAUGAUUACAAAUGAGUAUUAUUAGGUGAAAAAUUCACAAGACGAUAAACUAAAUGUUAGCCAUUGUUUGGUGACUUGUGGUGCUUUCGCGUGGGAGUUUUUCGUCACAUGUUGAAGGCGUGAAUUGGUUGCAUAAGUUACUGAACGAAAGGCGAUCUUGGGUGCAUAUUUUUGCAUCUCUAGGCGGUAUAAACGCGUUUAGAGGUCUGAGAUAUUUGUUAGUUGUUCCAUGAACUUCAGUGUGCUACUGAACUAAUGUUAAGCUUUAGAAUUCAAAUCAAGAUGAUCACGUAACGAAAUAUGUAGAAAAUCUGGUGCAUGGUUGUAAUAUUUACCUUCCGAGGAAAGUGGGAUCUUCUAACACAGACAAACAGGUAUAACAUUACUUUUUUCUCCGUCGUUCACACCGAUGCACAUGAUCGUCACAAACGGCGCUACGAGCGCUUAGUAUUUAAAAUGCAAAGGGCGAUGAACCCUACGUAUGUAUAUACGUAAGCUGGCAAUACUGAUGUAAAGUGCAUGUAAUCGUGUUAGGCCAAGAUGUUGAACAAAAACCCUUAUAUAUAGAUAACCUUCAAGUAUCUAUGAUACAUUGGCGAUUAAAAACUAAAUUUGUUCCAAGUGUUGCGCCAGUUUGUCUGUCCUUCCCCUUUCAUAAUAAGAUAAGCAUCAACGCCCUGGAUUGUUUUUCCUUUGUUAAAAUUUUAUUCGUGGUUAGAAUAGAGUUAAUAAGUCAUAUUGGUCCGUUCUAAUGCAAAGAUACGUAGUUAAAAAAGUAAUCUCUGGAUGUAUGCAGUAAAAACAAUUUUUUUCCAUUAAGGCUCAAGUUACCUUGUAACAGUUGUACAUUCCUAGUAUAUUAAGAUUGUAAAUAUUUUGAAUUGAAUGUAUAUAAUAACUUUUACAUUCAAUUCAUUAACAAGCCUAUAAUUUCCACCCACACAAUCCGACAAAUAGAUCAUCAAGUAUCAGACAUAGAAUCCACAUUUCAAUUACUUCAAUCAAAGCUAAUUCUUCCAUCCGCCAAAAUUUAGGCAAUGUGUCCUAUCUUCGAUAAGUCCAACCGUUUCAGUAUCCGAAGAUCACACUCGUUUCUUUCGAGCCCGAGUGAGAUUGCGAGAAUACUAAUUCCAAGAAGAAUCCUUGCACCAAAAGUUGAGGGAAAGGGAAAGCUAGACCGCUUGCUUACGCCAGAACAAACUAGAUGGUUGAAUGAUCUGAGAUCCCGAGUAAUCCCGAAGAAUUCUCAGAAAAUGACGUACUUCCGGGUACUUUGAGACUCCCUUUCUUAAUCUGAGGAAAUCAGGCUUUAAUCACUUUGUCCCAAACCGUUCAGCAGAGUGGAAGUGCCGCGAUUUGUUUCCCGCGUGUAUACCCUAGUUAGCUAGGAAGUGUGCGUUGUGCAUAGAAAACGAAAUAGUGCGAACCGAUUCUGUGUGCGAAUCGAUAGAAGAUUUCUUUAACUCCAAACAGGAUUGAUCGGUGCAAACCGCACGUAAAUCGUUCAUCGCCCGCCGGCCACAUUUCGCAUCACUCUGCAACCGUCGGAAGGACGAAUUUACCCGGCGAACGUUUUGUCGGAAGGGAGCCGAUACGCCAACACAUCGCUCCAUCGGAACUUCCCAAAUCUUCCGGUGACCAUCUGAAGUCCACGUGCCGGUUCGAAUCAUCACUUUCGGCCGGUAAUAGAAGUAACCGUUAACCAGCAACAGCUGGUCAGAUUCGGCCGAGACGAUAGCAGUUCAUCUGAUCGUCUCGUUGCCCCCGCGCACAACAGCAGCAGGAUCAUCAUCACCGUCUUCAUUCAACAGUAGCUGAUUCGGUGAGUCCGUUCGAAUUAUCACUAGUAGUGAAGUGGCGUCCAGAGAAGACGACCCGAAGUGAAAUUUAAGACCGUCCUCCGGUCAGUUUCCUGAGCCCCCGCUUUCAGACGGGCCACGCUCAUGACGUGAUCAAAGAUCCAUGUACACAUGUGACGGCGUUCUCGAUAGCACCCUCGAGACGCACAUGUUAUAAAAAACACCCGGGUGUACAAGCAAUAGCCACAUCUCACUUGCCACUCCAGAGCCCGUAGCCUGUUGGGUCGAAUUUUUGAAAGCACACAGAAGAACAGAUAGAUAGAGAAGAAAAACGCACACAAUAGAGAUAUAGGCCUAUAGCUAGAUAAUAAUGUACAAAUAGAAUCAAGUAUGCUUACCGUUUGAAGAUAAAACCCCGCUAGAAUGCUUAAUACACAACUUUUCAUGGAAGAUUAAAUUAUGUUUGGUUUUGAAUAAAUGUUUCAUGUUAGUGUAUUUGAGAUAGAGUUUUUAGUUCGCUGAAAUAUUUCCCACGUCACCGAUUAUGUUUCGUUCGCUUUUUCUUUGCCGCGUGGCAAAUUUGAAUUAGAUGAUAGAUUCUCUUCCACGUUGUUAGCGCGAUCUGGUGGCAAACAUUAACCCUGCCAGUGAUGAUAAGCUUUUUGGCUAUGGGGAGUUUCGACUGUGGGAUUUAGAAGGUGAGCUUCGGUUCUUGGGGACUUUAGCCGUCUAGGGUAUUUGGACCUGUUCUGGGGUUUAGCUUGUGUGCCUAGCUGAACCGAUCUGGAUUCUUUCAAAGAAAGGAUUCUUUUCUUGACUGGCAUUCUUGCAGUCUCAUCCGGGCAUCUCAAACUUGGCGGUAGUCUCCGAAAGGAGUGGCGCUAAAACUACGCGCUUCAAAAGAUCGGUCAGCGACGGCUACAACCUCAAGGCUUGGUAGUAUGCGUAAGAAAAAUUGUGUUCAGCUUUGCCACCAAAUUAUCCAUCUAAACCUUUUCAAAACUCUAAAAGAAGAAUAUCAGUCGAUUUAUUAGAUCAUCACGAUUCAAUUCAUGCAAAAUACCUGCUGGAAAAACCAUCGGCAUAGCUGGAUGGUGCUUUUGAAAAAGUGGCUGUGAUUUUUUAUCACACUACCACACCGAGCUGGGGUACGCAACACAACUGCGCAAUGAAAAAACCACAGCCACUUUUUCAAAA